UGGGGAAUAUUGGACAAUGGAGGAAACUCUGAUCCAGCAAUUCUGUGUGUGUGAAGAAGGUUUUAGGACUGUAAAACACUUUUAGUAGGGAAGAAAAAAAUGACGGUACCUACAGAAGAAGCAACGGCUAAAUACGUGCCAGCAGCCGCGGUAAUACGUAUGUUGCGAGCGUUAUCCGGAAUUAUUGGGCUUAAAGGGCAUCUAGGCGGUAAGACAAGUUGAAGGUGAAAACCUGUGGCUCAACCAUAGGCUUGCCUACAAAACUGUUGAACUAGAGUACUGGGAAGGUGGGUGUAACUACACGAGUAGAGGUGAAAUUCGUAGAUAUGUGUAGGAAUGCCGAUGAUGAAGAUAACUCACUGGACAGAAACUGACGCUGAAGUGCGAAAGCUAGGGGAGCAAACAGG
rnacentral:rRNA from 1 species